rnacentral:lncRNA from 1 species
UUAAAGCCUUAAUCUUUGUUUAUAUGGUAUGUAUUAAAAAAAAUUAAGAUUCAAGAUUAAAACCGUUACUUUAUAAUAUUUUGUUAACUAAGCACUUAUCAGAUGAUAAAUUUGUUAAGACACCAUAUAUAUACAAAUGACAUUUGUUAUACUUCAUUGGCUUAAGUCAAUUUUUGACAAUAUAUUUUUGUAAAAAAAAGUCCAAUCUGCACAGACUACAGUUGGUAAGUUAUUAUACCAUUAUAUAUUAUAGAAACUUUUAUAAACCUUUUUACGGAUUAUAAAUAAAAAUAUGUAUUUAUUACUCAUGUAUGUAUUACUUGUUGUGUAUGGAUUUCACAUUAGUUGCAAUAUUGAUUUUUUGUUGCAACUUUGUAAUUUUAGUAUCUACCUCAUGUGUUACACCUGGCAAGUCAAACAACUCUUACUUUUUAAUGUGCAAACUUUACAAUAUGUUUGACUAUAGUUCCUUAGUCAUGUGCUGCGACUAGUAAUUUAAAAAACUAUUACAUUUAAUAUGUGUUUGCAUGUCUCGUAAUUUGUAAUAUUGAUUUUAUGUUAUAACUUUGUAAUUUUAGUAUCUACCUCAUCAGCUACACCUGGUAAGUUAAACAACUCUGACUUUUUAAUGCGCACAAAUUUCUUAUUGAUUACAAUAUUGAUUUUAUAAUAUAAUAUUUACCUUUAGUUCUUUCUACGUGUGCUAUGCCUUGUAAGUUUCAAAACCCUUUUUCUUUUAACAUGUGUAUGCAUUUCUUAUCAAUUGCAAUACUGGUUUUUGAUUAAAACUUUUUUUGUUAUAGUUACAUGUUCAGCUGUCAUAUCAGGUAAGUUUAAAAAAUAUUUCUUUUUAGACUUUAAAUGCAUUUAUUACUAGUUGCAAUUUUUAUUUCUUAAUACAACUAAUUUUGGUUCCAUUUGCGCCACCUUCAAAUGGUAAAUUUAUGAAUCUGGAAUGCCUCUGAUUGAUUAUUGAAUUCCUCUUAUAUCUAUUUAUAUAAACUAUUUAAUACUUUUGUAUUUUGUUAGCUCUCCAAGUGCGAUAAAUGGAGAAUCAGAAGCAUUUAAAUUUUAAUUCUGAUUAACUUUUAUUUCAAUUUUCAUUGAUUUAUUUAUUAUUCAUUAUAUUUAUUCAGACAAAUUGUCCUCGUAAGUAAUUAGUUUAUAUUUCAUAAUUUUUGUAACAUGAAUUACAAAUACAUUUAUAUUUUAUUUGUUUUUAGAGCUAACAUAUGAAGCAUAUCGAUCGUUUCGGCUGGACAACCCAGGACCCAGUAGCAAUUCAUCCUACAAGAGAGUUAUUAAAAAUAUUAUUGGAAUAUACCGUUAAUUGUUGUAGAAGGAAUUAUGGUCCCAAAAAAAAGUGGAUGUAUGUUUCAUGGUGCAGUAAAAAAGUUGGUGGGUUAAAUAUGAUCAUUUAAAUGAGAAAAUGUAUACUCGUGCAACUUGUAAUCUGGGUGUUAUAACAUCACAACCACAUCUAUGGCCAGCUCUAAGAUCACCUUAUUUUGUUUGGCAGUGUUCUGGAAUCAAGUUAUGGCAAUAUUUUGUGUAUAAAAUAUUACAAUUACAUUAAAAAAAUG